AACGAACGCUGGCGGCAGGCCUAACACAUGCAAGUCGAGCGCAUCCUUCGGGAUGAGCGGCGGACGGGUGAGUAACGCGUGGGAAUAUGCCCUUCUCUACGGAAUAGUCUCGGGAAACUGGGGGUAAUACCGUAUACGCCCUACGGGGGAAAGAUUUAUCGGAGAAGGAUUAGCCCGCGUUGGAUUAGCUUGUUGGUGAGGUAAUGGCUCACCAAGGCGACGAUCCAUAGCUGGUUUGAGAGGAUGAUCAGCCACACUGGGACUGAGACACGGCCCAGACUCCUACGGGAGGCAGCAGUGGGGAAUCUUAGACAAUGGGGGAAACCCUGAUCUAGCCAUGCCGCGUGAGUGAUGAAGGCCUUAGGGUUGUAAAGCUCUUUCAGCUGGGAAGAUAAUGACUGUACCAGCAGAAGAAGCCCCGGCUAACUCCGUGCCAGCCGCCGCAGUAAAAC
rnacentral:rRNA from 1 species